AAGCACAUCCUCCGCCCAGUCUGGAGCGGAGAUGGCGGCGACGGCAGUGCGAGCGGUGAUGUUCCCCGCGGUGCGGCGGCGGCGGCUUUGGGGUUUCGCGGAGAGACUUCUGGUUGGAGGCGCUGCCGGGAGGUCAUUAUAUUUUGGAGGGAACAGAUUGCGAAGUACACAGGCUGCUACGCAGGUGGUUCUGAAUGUUCCUGAAACCAGAGUAUCGCGUUUGGACAACGGACUCAGGGUCGCCUCUGAAGACUCUGGCAUUUCAACAUGCACAGUUGGGCUCUGGAUUGAUGCUGGAAGUCGCUAUGAAAAUGAGAAGAAUAAUGGCACAGCUCACUUUUUGGAGCAUAUGGCUUUCAAGGGCACCAAAAAGAGAUCCCAAUUAGAUCUGGAACUUGAGAUUGAAAACAUGGGUGCUCAUCUCAAUGCUUAUACCUCCAGAGAGCAGACUGUGUAUUAUGCCAAAGCAUUCUCUAAAGAUCUGCCAAGAGCUGUAGAAAUUCUUGCUGAUAUAAUACAAAACAGCACAUUGGGAGAAGCAGAGAUUGAACGUGAGCGUGGCGUAAUCCUUAGAGAGAUGCAGGAAGUUGAAACCAAUUUACAGGAAGUUGUUUUUGAUUAUCUUCAUGCCACAGCUUAUCAAAAUACAGCACUUGGACGGACAAUUUUGGGACCAACUGAAAAUAUCAAAUCUAUAAAUCGGAAGGACUUGGUGGAUUAUAUAACCACACAUUACAAGGGGCCAAGAAUAGUGCUUGCUGCUGCUGGAGGAGUUUCCCAUGAUGAACUGCUUGAGUUAGCAAAGUUUCAUUUUGGUGACUCUUUGUCCUCACACAAAGGAGAAAUACCAGCUCUGCCUCCCUGCAAAUUCACAGGAAGUGAGAUACGAGUGAGGGAUGACAAGAUGCCUUUGGCGCAUAUUGCAGUAGCUGUCGAGGCCGUUGGGUGGGCACAUCCAGAUACAAUCUGUCUGAUGGUUGCAAACACACUGAUUGGCAACUGGGAUCGCUCUUUUGGAGGAGGAAUGAAUCUUUCCAGCAAGCUGGCCCAGCUCACCUGCCAUGGCAGCCUCUGUCACAGCUUCCAGUCCUUCAACACUUCCUACACAGAUACGGGAUUGUGGGGAAUCUAUAUGGUUUGUGAACCGGCCACCAUUGCUGACAUGCUACAUGUUGUUCAAAAAGAAUGGAUGCGACUCUGUACAAGUGUAACUGAAAGUGAAGUUGCACGAGCCAAGAAUCUCCUGAAAACAAACAUGUUGUUGCAGCUUGAUGUUCUUCCUUCCUUUUUAAACAGGUUCUACCCCAAUCUGUGAAGAUAUUGGUAGGCAGAUGUUAUGUUACAACAGGAGAAUUCCCAUCCCUGAGCUUGAAGCCAGAAUUGAUGCUGUAAAUGCUGAGACAAUUCAAGAAGUGUGCACCAAAUACAUUCAUGCUAAGAGUCCAGCUCUUGCUGCCGUCGGUCCUAUUGAACGGCUGCCAGAGUUUAACCAGAUUCACAGGAACAUGUGCUGGCUUCGUGAUUAAAAUGCUCCUACUCAGAAUAUUUUGAGCAUGUGUAUUUAUAAUGCUAACAGAUUGCAAGUUUUAAGCUACCAGUCCCUAAAGAAAAAAAUAAAAACGUAUGUACCUGGAAA